rnacentral:lncRNA from 1 species
UGCCAGUCAGUUCUCCUUUUAAUUGAUGAAGAUGAUGAUGCAUCUGACAUAAUCCUUCCAAUAUGGCUGGGGAUGAUGUUUGGAUUUGCCGAGGUCUAACUAAGCCUCUUUCAUCUUUGACCUUGGAUGGAGUGGCACUUCCACAUUUGAGGCAUCCCAAAUUGCUUUGGCUUUGGAAAUUCCCAGACUGAUUCAGAAACUUUAUCCGGCUCAGCGGAUGACCUCAAGCCAGGUUGGGCGGCAUGCUUCUUGCAACGCUGAUGUGUCCUUUUGAAAGAUGUAUGGACAACCAGGAAACAAACAGAAAUAAUUACGAUGGAUCGAUGGUGUGCUGUGAAGUCAUUUUCAGCUCUUGGCAACCACCAGGGAAGAUGGAGGCACCUACACAAGCAGUCCUUGACUUACAAACAUUCACUUAGCAACCAUUCUAAGUUUCAACAGGAUUGAAACAAGUGACUCAUAUGACCUAUCCUUGCAUUUAUGACUGUCAUAGCAUUUGUAUGCUCACGUGAUCAAAAGCUGGGCGUUUGGCAACCUGCAUGAAUUUACAAUGGUUGCAGUAACUCAAGCUUGUGUGAUCCCCACUUGUGACCUUCCUGCCUGCCUUCUGACAAGCCAAGCCCAUGGGGAAGUCACCUUCACUUCAUGACUGCAUGUAGUGAUUCACUUAACAACUGUGGAAAAAAUAUCGUAAAAUUGAACUUAUUUAACAAUCAUGAGCCAUGGUGAUGCAGUGGUUAGAGUGCAGUACUGCAGGCUACUUCUACUGAUUGCUGACUGCCUGCAAUUUGGCAGUUUGAAUCUUACCAGGCUCAAGGUUGACUCAGACUUCUGUCCUUCCGAGUUGGUAAAAUGAGGACCCAAAUUGUUGGGAGCAAUAGGCUGAGUCUGUAAACUGCUUAGAGAGGGCUGUAAAGCACUGUGAAGCGGUAUAUAAGUCUAAGUGCUAAGGGCGAUUAAGAAUUGUGGUGGCACAGUGGUUAGAAUGAAGAAUAGCAGGCAAUUCUGCCCACUGCCAGGAGUUUGAUCCUGACCGGCUCAAGGUUGACUCAGCCUUCCGUCCUUCCGAGGUGGGUAAAAUGAGGACCUAGAUUGUUGGGGGCAAGAGGCUGACUCUGUAAACCGCUUAGAGAGGUCUGGAAAGCACUGGGAAGUGGUAUACAAAUCUAAGCU